rnacentral:rRNA from 1 species
AUGCUGCAGGAGGAUGGGGGUAUUGAUGAAGAUGUGAACCAUCGAAUCAAAGCCGGAUGGAUGAAGUGGCGCCAAGCUUCUGGCAUUCUCUGUGACAAGAGAGUGCCACAAAAGCUAAAAGGCAAGUUCUACAGGACGGCGGUUCGACCCGCAAUGUUGUAUGGCGCUGAGUGUUGGCCGACUAAAAGGCGACAUGUUCAACAGUUAGGUGUGGCGGAGAUGCGUAUGUUGAGAUGGAUGUGUGGCCACACGAGGAAGGAUCGAGUCCGGAAUGAUGAUAUACGAGAUAGAGUUGGGGUAGCACCAAUUGAAGAGAAGCUUGUCCAACAUCGUCUGAGAUGGUUUGGGCAUAUUCAGCGCAGGCCUCCAGAAGCUCCGGUGCAUAGUGGACAGCUAAAGCGUGUGGAGAAUGUCAAGAGGGGGCGGGGUAGACUGAAUUUGACAUGGGGGGAGUCCGUUAAGAGAGACCUGAAGGAUUGGAGUAUCACCAAAGAGCUAGCUAUGGACAGGGGUGCGUGGAAGCUUGCUAUCCAUGUGCCAGAGCCAUGA